rnacentral:rRNA from 1 species
UACGUAGGGUGCGAGCGUUAAUCGGAAUUACUGGGCGUAAAGCGUGCGCAGGCGGUUUUGUAAGACAGGUGUGAAAUCCCCGGGCUUAACCUGGGAACUGCAUUUGUGACUGCAAGGCUAGAGUGUGGCAGAGGGGGGUAGAAUUCCGCGUGUAGCAGUGAAAUGCGUAGAUAUGCGGAGGAAUACCGAUGGCGAAGGCAGCCCCCUGGGUCAACACUGACGCUCAUGCACGAAAGCGUGGGGAGCAAACAGG